UGGGCGCAAGCCUGAUGCAGCCAUGCCGCGUGUAUGAAGAAGGCCUUCGGGUUGUAAAGUACUUUCAGCAGUGAGGAAGGGGGUGUCGUUAAUAGCGGCAUUUCUUGACGUUAGCUGCAGAAGAAGCACCGGCUAACUCCGUGCCAGCAGCCGCGGUAAUACGGAGGGUGCGAGCGUUAAUCGGAAUUACUGGGCGUAAAGCGCAUGCAGGUGGUUUGUUAAGUCAGAUGUGAAAGCCCGGGGCUCAACCUCGGAACUGCAUUUGAAACUGGCAAACUAGAGUACUGUAGAGGGGGGUAGAAUUUCAGGUGUAGCGGUGAAAUGCGUAGAGAUCUGAAGGAAUACCAGUGGCGAAGGCGGCCCCCUGGACAGAUACUGACACUCAGAUGCGAAAGCGUGGGGAGCAAACAGGAUUAGAUACCCUGGUAGUCCACGCCGUAAACGAUGUCUACUUGGAGGUUGUGGCCUUGAGCCGUGGCUUUCGGAGCUAACGCGUUAAGUAGACCGCCUGGGGAGU
rnacentral:rRNA from 1 species